rnacentral:rRNA from 2 species
GUUGCCAGCGGUCCGGCCGGGAACUCAAAGGAGACUGCCAGUGAUAAACUGGAGGAAGGUGGGGAUGACGUCAAGUCAUCAUGGCCCUUACGACCAGGGCUACACACGUGCUACAAUGGCGCAUACAAAGAGAAGCGACCUCGCGAGAGCAAGCGGACCUCAUAAAGUGCGUCGUAGUCCGGAUUGGAGUCUGCAACUCGACUCCAUGAAGUCGGAAUCGCUAGUAAUCGUGGAUCAGAAUGCCACGGUGAAUACGUUCCCGGGCCUUGUACACACCGCCCGUCACACCAUGGGAGUGGGUUGCAAAAGAAGUAGGUAGCUUAACCUUCGGGAGGGCGCUUACCACUUUGUGAUUCAUGACUGGGGUGAAGUCGUAACAAGGUAACCGUAGGGGAACCUGCGGUUGGAUCACCUCCUUACCUUAAAGAA